GGAGUGGUAGCUCAGUGGUUAAGGUGUUGGCUUACUGAGUAGAAGGUCAUGAGUUCAAGUCUCAACACUGCCA